GCUUCAGACUCUGUAGGAAAUGUCUCUAAAGCCAGAGUUGUAACUCUCCUAGAUUGUCAUAACCAGGUUUAACGAGAGGAAUGGACUUAUCUAGGGUGAAGGGGGGCACAUUACAGUCUCAUACGUUUCAAACUCAGUAGGAUGCUGACCUGGUCGUUAUAUCCUUGCAGGUGACCUGGAAGGAUGUCCAGUGUACCUAUGGGGAUCACAUAUAUCGUUGGAGGGAAACUGCCUAUCUCUUGGUUUACAUGAAGACUGGAUCCUGACAGAUAUACUCACACCUUCAGAGAGUGACAGACUCUUUUCUCCUCUCCUGUACCCACAUCUGCUGCAUUUCAACGAGAAUCGUAAUUUAAAAACCAUAAUUAAGCCCUAUUUAUAAGCAAGGAUUAUUAUUAUUGCUGUGGCUUGGCUGUAGUUUGUCUCCCAACAGCUCACACACAGAAGGCUUGGUCUUUAGUAUGGAGGCGUUUGGGUGACAGAACUUUUAAGGGACAGGGCCCAGUGGGAGGUAAUCAGUUCAUGGGAUCUCUCUUCUGUGCACUAAUAGUUCCUUUUCUGUUUCUCCGUGGUGAUGCAAACAGGGUGAUCCAACAUGCCAGUGCCAAGCUGGUUGGAUCCUCUAGCUUUCAAAAUUCCAAGUCAAAUAAAUGUUAUUACACACU
rnacentral:lncRNA from 1 species